rnacentral:rRNA from 1 species
GAUGAACGCUGGCGGCGUGCUUAACACAUGCAAGUCGAACGAAGCACCUUGAUUUGAUUCUUCGGAUGAAGAUUUUGGUGACUGAGUGGCGGAUGGGUGAGUAACGCGUGGGUAACCUGCCUCAUACAGGGGGAUAACAGUUAGAAAUGACUGCUAAUACCGCAUGAGACCACAGUACUGCAUGGUACAGUGGUAAAAACUCCGGUGGUAUGAGAUGAACCCGCGUCUGAUUAGGUAGUUGGUGAGGUAACGGCCCACCAAGCCGACGAUCAGUAGCCGACCUGAGAGGGUGACCGGCCACAUUGGGACUGAGACACGGCCCAG